rnacentral:rRNA from 1 species
GACGAACGCUGGCGGCGUGCUUAACACAUGCAAGUCGAACGGAAAGGCCCUGCUUUUGUGGGGUGCUCGAGUGGCGAACGGGUGAGUAACACGUGAGUAACCUGCCCUUGACUUUGGGAUAACUUCAGGAAACUGGGGCUAAUACCGGAUAGGAGCUCCUGCUGCAUGGUGGGGGUUGGAAAGUUUCGGCGGUUGGGGAUGGACGCGCGGCUGAUCAGCUUGUUGGUGGGGUAGUGGCUUACCAAGGCUUUGACGGGUAGCCGGCCUGAGAGGGUGACCGGCCACAUUGGGACUGAGAUACGGCCCAGACUCCUACGGGAGGCAGCAGUGGGGAAUAUUGCACAAUGGGCGGAAGCCUGAUGCAGCAACGCCGCGUGCGGGAUGACGGCCUUCGGGUUGUAAACCGCUUUCGCCUGUGACGAAGCGUGAGUGACGGUAAUGGGUAAAGAAGCACCGGCUAACUACGUG